GCCAGGUAGCCCGCUGACCCUGGAGGACGAGAGAUGUGUGGAGCAGAGCCACUCCUCCUACUUGCAGACUCACAAGCCAGCCCAGCUGAGGCCAGCCAGGCUGCAGAGCCAUGAGGAAGCACUGCCUGCUGCUGUAAGCUGCUUGUUAGGCAGCGUCACCGUGGCAGCCGGUAGCUGAUACAGUGAGACGCGAGGAGUGACCAAGCCGAGGAGCACUGAGGAGAGCAGAUGGAGUUAGUGGUCAGCUGGGUGUGUGGGUCUCAGAUCGAAAGUCACCUCUUCAAGGAGACCUUCACUGACCGCCCGGAAUGAAGACCCCACCUGCAUCCUUUCUACCAACUCACCUGCCUGACUUCCUUCAUCUCACUCACAACUGUCCUCUGGCAGAACUCCAGGAGAGUCUCCAGCUCAGGUCUUGGCCGAGCAAGGAUGGGCCCCAUGAGCCAGCCCAGCAGCAGAUUGGCACAUGCUGUGUUGGCAGCAUCUUCGUUGCUCACUUAGGAGCCCCAGGACUCAGGCUUGCCCUUCCCUUCCUUCCCCAAACGCUUUUUGAGCACUGCACUGAACGCAGUGGGGCUGCCUUUGGAGCACAGGAGCCCAGCUACACUCCACCUUGUGACACCAGCUGUGGGACAUGGGUAAGUCACUUCUGCGGCCUCUGACCGCAGUUUCCUCAUCUGUAAAAUGGGGAUAAUAAUGACUACCUCAGAGGGUUGUUGUGAGGCUUG